UACGUAGGCAGCAAGCGUUGUUCGGAGUUACUGGGCGUAAAGGGUGUGUAGGCGGUUGUUUAAGUUUGGUGUGAAAUCUCCCGGCUCAACCGGGAGGGUGCGCCGAAUACUGAACGGCUUGGAGUGCGGGAGAGGAGAGUGGAAUUCCUGGUGUAGCGGUGAAAUGCGUAGAUAUCAGGAGGAACACCGGUGGUGUAGACGGCUCUCUGGACCGUAACUGACGCUGAGACACGAAAGCGUGGGUAGCAAACAGG
rnacentral:rRNA from 1 species